CCUACGGGUGGCAGCAGUAGGAAAUUUUGCGCAAUGGGCGAAAGCCUGACGCAGCAACGCCGCGUGAUUGAUUAAGCCCUUCGGGGUGUAAAGAUCUGUCAGCGGGGACGAAACUUGACGGUACCCACAGAGGAAGCACCGGCUAACUCCGUGCCAGCAGCCGCGGUAAUACGGAGGGUGCAAGCGUUGUCCGGAAUCAUUGGGCGUAAAGAGUUCGUAGGUGGCAUAUUAAGUCUGGUGUUAAAUGCAGAGGCUCAACUUCUGUACGGCACUUGAUACUGGUAAGCUGGAGUGCGGUAGGGGUAGAGGGAAUUCCUGGUGUAGCGGUGAAAUGCGUAGAUAUCAGUAGGAACAUCGGUGGCGUAAGCGCUUUACUGGGCCGUGAUUGACACUGAGGAACGAAAGCCGGGGUAGCAAAUGGGAUUAGAUACCCCUGUAGUC
rnacentral:rRNA from 1 species